UUUCCGCAAUGGGCGAAAGCCUGACGGAGCAAUGCCGCGUGGAGGUGGAAGGCCUACGGGUCGUCAACUUCUUUUCUCGGAGAAGAAAANAUGACGGUAUCUGAGGAAUAAGCAUCGGCUAACUCUGCGCCAGCAGCCGCGGUAAGACAGAGGAUGCAAGCGUUAUCCGGAAUGAUUGGGCGUAAAGCGUCUGUAGGUGGCUUUUUAAGUUCGCCGUCAAAUCCCAGGGCUCAACCCUGGACAGGCGGUGGAAACUACCAAGCUGGAGUACGGUAGGGGCAGAGGGAAUUUCCGGUGGAGCGGUGAAGUGCGUAGAGGUCGGAAAGAACACCAAUGGCGAGAGCACUCUGCUGGGCCGACACUGACACUGAGAGACGAAAGCUAGGGGAGCGAAUGG
rnacentral:rRNA from 1 species